rnacentral:lncRNA from 1 species
CCGUUUAAAAUCACGCACACAGCUGAAUCAAGCUGGUGCAAAUGGGUAUUUCCAUCCCAGAGCAAACCACAAAGGUUAUGAUACAGGGAUGGACACUUGCAGAAACAUAGAAGCAGCUGCUGUUUACAGUGUCAUACGGCACUUCCUGGUCUAGAGCUCUUCACCGAGACAAGAUGCUGGCAUUGCAGAAAUGAGAAACCUAUAAAAGACGGAAUUGGUUGGAACAAUGUUAUGCUCAGUGGAAAGAGAAGUCGUUUUUGGUUUGAAGGCUCACGGUGACAGUAGCCACCACUGCCAAAAACCUAUAUGGAUCAUCAUCGCAUCAUAACAAGAUAAAAACUAUUAGGUCAUAUGCCGACGGAAAGGGCCCGGAAAAUCAUUGAGUAAUCAGAUCCAGGUGAGUUGAAAGCCGACUGUGUUUUCAAUCUAGCAAGAUGGCAGGACGAUUUGCCGAUUGGCUGGAAUGGCAAGUUACAACAUCCAGACAAGAAGCUGAUCUUGCAAAAACAAACAUUCACAUAGAUCACUGCAUCAGGUUUCUCUGCAAAGGGCUAGCUUAGCCAAACACAAAUCUCAUACCACCCAUUUCGUGCGAUGGAUCUAUCAGAUCGAAGUGAAAGUAUAGACAGGGUUGGGGUUUUACUGUGAAACUAUCAUCCCUUGAAAUUAAUCCAAUCUCAUUGCAUUGGAAUUGUUUAACCAAGUAUGCUUACAUUGCACUUAAAUUGGCAUAUAUAAGCAUCUCAUUUCAGUAAAUUGUCCUGUUAUUUUUCCUGAUUUGGGUAAAGAAGUCUGAAAUACCAGAUAAAAAUAUCAAAAGACUAUGAACAAAAUCACCAAAAAAAGACACAAACAAAUCUCGAAAACAUAGAAGAUAUGUAUGGACAAGUUGAAUGCACAAACCAUCUCGAAGAAUGGUCUGUGCCAGAAUCUUAGCCCAAAGAUUCAUAUUGGCAACGUACAGCGCUGAAUUACGCUAUUAAGAAGCGCACCAGAGACUCUAAUUUAUUGCCUUCAAAGGAUGUAAAUCGAAUCUAGAAACCAAAAAAAGGACAACAAAACGAAUACAUGAGAACGCAUUAGACUCACGAAAACUUGGUGUAAUCGACAUAGUAUCGAUUCAGAGUUUGAUGGUAAGUUGAAAAGAUCAUCAUCGUCUAACGCCCCAAUCAAGAUGCUCAGUGGAGAAGAGAAAUAGCGAAGCAAAGCUGCCAACAAAACGAAUACAUGAGAUAGCAUUAGACUCACGAAAACUUGGUGUAAUCGACAUAGUACCGAUUCAGAGUUUGAUGGUAAGUUGAAAAGAUCAUCAUCGUCACAUGCCCCGAUCAAGAUGCUCCGUGGAGAAAAGAAAUCGCGAAGCAGAGUCGCCAACAAAUCAACAAAGAUAAUAAACGGAAGGCAAAAGAUGGAGAACUCAACUGGCGGCGGAGGAUAGAUGAGGCUUUGGAUGAUGCUGGGUGCGCUUAUAUAGGGGGUGGCAACGAGUGGGGGCUGCCCUAGCCAUCGUGAAUUGGCAUAAUUACCCCUGUGCUUCGCUCGUUCGAGAGAAAACGAUACGCUGCCCUGCGGGCUGCGGCCUUUUGGGCUUGAAUCACAGCAGUUCGGCCCCGCACAAGGACCUGAAACCACAGUAUGCUGGUCAGGCCCACAACAGCGUGGGUGUUUGUGAAGCAUUUUUUUUUAGGCUAAGGUCGUUGCUUUAUUUAAAAUUCAAACGUUAGAAUCUCAUCCGAAAUUACAUCUAGGACAAAGUCCGGGGGAUCCUACAACCAAACCUUACAUAGUUCAUGACUAACCCCUACCUUAGCUAACUUAUGCGCGACGUCGUUAGUCAACCGACGAACCCAACAAACUUUGAACUCGGCAAAAGACCGAAGUAGUGCCUUUGAUUUCGAGAAGCACACAAGUUCCUGUGAGCUUGAUUCAACAUCUGCACCACCCCUUGGGAGUCCAGCUCCAAGUGCAUCAUGUGUGCCUCAACCUGUGUUGCUACCUCCAGUGCACGUUUGCAGGCUGGGAUUUCCACCACUUCCGCAUCCUCGUUGUUUUGGAAUAGAUGGCACAUUGCACCCUGAAACGCAACAUUGUGAUCCCUAAUCAUAGCACCGCCGUCGCCCUGUUCGCCAUGUCGAGCGUCUGCCUCAUCCGAAUUCACCUUGCGCCACCCCUCAUCAGGAGGUUCCCAUUUUUGUGUCACUUUCUGCACCGGUGCCUUAGGAGGAAUAGCAUGGACAGUCUUCCAUUUUUCCAUGUUCAUGACCACACAGGUCAAUAUAUCAUGUGGAGGGGCAAUUCUCUUCCCAUCCCGUACUUCAUUUCAUGCGAGCCACAACUCGUAACUAGCGCAUAUCAUCAUUUCCCUUUCGUCAUCACAUACACCAGCGAACCAACCAAGCAACCACGCGGCCAAACCACUCUAGGAGUCAAACGUGCACGGUGGGAUCGCCACCGCAUCUCCCUUCUCUGAGUGAAGAAGCUGCCAGAACUGGGUUGAAUGUUGGCAUGCCCAGAAACGGUGGUAGAUUGUUUCUUCCCUCCCGCAUGCAACACAAAAAACUACUGUCUUAAUAACACACCGAUAUAAUUCCGCUCCAACCGCCAGUCCAUUCUUAACCAACCUUCACAUAUGAAUCUUGGCCUUAGCCAGUAAACUCGUAUCCCACAGCGCUAAAAAAUAUGCUUGUACACCGAGCUGGAUUCCUCCGGCUGUCCAGUUCUUGAUCUGCCCAUUGACAUCUUCAGUUGGUAGGCGGACCUGACAUUGAAAUUUUCAUUCUUGAUGAAGUUUCUUGCCACGUAAUCUUGUGUACCCGGUCCACCAAUUGCUAUCUGCUAGAUGUCCUUGGCAUCAUCACUUGUGAACAUGACAUCCACUUUCCAUCAUUCCAAGCACGCCCAUCCCUAGAAAUUAAGUCUGCCACUUUUGUCACACCCUGCAAGUGCACCUGCCCAAUUGGUGCCAUACUACCACUUCUCGGUAUCCAGCUUGCACGAGGCUUGUCGUAAUGGGAGUACCACAGCUAGUAUCAUGCAUACCAACUAAGCAAUUUUGAUGAGGUGGCAUAGAAUUAAAUGAAGAAAGAGAGGAUUGAGUAUCAUAUCAUGAUACCGUAUCAUAUUAAAUGUUGUGCUACUAUGUGUCAUGCAUGACAAUAAAUGACCUAUCCUAGUAACAUAUUAUACUAUUCAUUACGGGUGUACUAUCAUACACUAGUAUCAUAUGCAUGAUACUAGUAUAUGAUACUCCUCAUUACAACCAGCCUGAUGUAUAUUUAUCAUGGACCCAUCACCAAUACGCCAAAUGUGUCCUUCCCUAAGGAGAUCCCUACCAUGCAAGACAUGAUUAAAUAUAAUGUUUAAAGAUUAUAUAUAAUUAAAUAAAUAAAUCAUUAGUUAAUCUGUUAUUUAAGCUAACUAAAAUAACAUAAUCAGUGUAUGACAACUGGGCCCCCACUAAUUAAUCUGAUUAAUUAAUUAGUUAAUCUAAACAUUUAAAAUGUGCCUAUGACGACGGGGCUCACUCGUCAUAUUUGACCAGUCAAACUCUGUUGAUUGAUGAUGUCAUGCUGAUAUCAUCGCGAUGUCAUAUUUAAGUUUUUAAUAAUUAAUUAAAUCUGUUUUUAAUUGCUAAAUAUUAAUAAAACUUUAAAAAAAUUAAUAUAAUAUAAACCGUAAGUCAGAUCAAUAUAUUUUCAACAUGAAAGUUGAUCAGCAGAACGAGACGAACCCGGAUACACGGUGCAUUUGUGUAUCACGCAUUCCUAGUAUAGCAAACGUGGAACUUUUCCAUCGUUUUCAGUCUAACCGGUAGUAGCCACAUACCCGGGAAAUAUCAUCUGAUAUUUUCCCGACCCGUCUAUGACGGAUGUUACUGCGUUAGCUCAUGCCUAGUCUGCAUAUUGUCAUGUCAUGCUUAGUGUUGCACCUUUUGCUGUUAUUUAUUGUUUCUCCCCCAUCUUCUUACCGAUAGACUCCGAGACUGACGCUGCUGCCGGGUACAUCUACGACCCUGUCGACCAGCCCUUUGUCGCAGAGCAACAAGGCAAGCAAACCUCCCUUGAUCAUCCCUAUAUCGCCUAUGUUUUUCUUCCUCCUCUUGCAUUAGAAUUUUGCUACUGUUGUAGUUAGCUCAUAUAUCUGAUGCAUAGCCUAUUUUUGAUAAACUGCUACUUUCAGUACUGUAAUUUUAUACUGUUUAGUAUAGGUGGAACAGUCUUCCCCUCUGAUCCCGUAGUCCAGUUGCCCCGCUUUGUUUUCAAAUCUCGAUCCCUGAUCGACGAGCCAGACCCGGCACAACACUUACACCCCCUUAGUUGUUGCGAGGCUACAGAGAUAAUAUCGGGUACCGAGGGUGACACCUCGCGAAGUACUCCUCAUGAAAUCUCUGUAGUACAGCUAGUCGGUCGUGGUUAUUGAGGGUGAUUCCUCUGUCACCAUUCCCGACGAUGCCUCUGUCGUGCAACCCCUCAAGUGUGGAACCCUCGAGGGUGAUUCCUCUAAGUCCACCUUGACGGAUUACAUCAUUCGGAAUCCAACGAGGGUGACACCUCGGAUUCCCCCGAUGUUUCAACCACGCAGUUACUUGACCAUGUUACUGGGAUCUUUGAUGAAUAGAUGUUAGGCGGGUGGACUCCCGCGUGUUUGUGUUGAUGACCAUAAUUAAAAUGACAAUGGAUUUGGGUAUUUGAUCUGGGUUGGUCGGAGACCUUUUCGCACUAACCGGCUACGCGGGAAGAAUUAUGGGUACUCGACGUCGCGGUAUUAGCCGAAGCUCUUCAGACGUCAGCAAUGGAGCGUCGCGCACCCGAGUGGUCCCGAGAUGCAUUGUGCUUGUGAUUAAGGGGUGCUUGGACUGACCUCGCUCGCCCACGCAUCGUGGAGGAGUGCGGAGGGCAAGUGGGCCACGAACCCUUUGUGCUUAGGAGUUAGACCAGCGGGCUGGCCUCUCUGCUGAGCUUAGGUGGGGCUGCGACAUGUCGAUAUUCUGAGGCCGGGCAUGAUCCAGAAAAGUGUGUCCGGCCAGAGUGUUAUCGAGCGUGACAGGAAACUUGGUGCACCCCUGCAGGGAUGAAAAUUAACUAUUCGGAUAGCUGUGUCCACGGUUACAGGAGGACUUGGAGUUGUGCCCUGAUCUUAUACAACUACAACUGUUACUUAACUCGAAUUAGUUGCCCUGGGAUUGCUUCCUCGCAGGGAGUCGAGGGAGGAUCUCUGGGCGUGAUCUCAUAUGAAUUUUGCUGCAACAAUAUGACUAUUAAUUGUGUUACCUUGAUCUACUCUCGUCUAUUGCUGCAAGACCCUGAAGAUGCUAGUCUUUGAUAGGACUAGGCUUCUCUCCCUAUUCUCGCAUUGUUGCAGUCAGUCCACAUAUAUAAACCCCUUCUUUGAUAUUGAUGCAUACUUAGCUUAGUUAUGAUGUAAGACUUGCGAGUACUUCGGAUGAAUACUCACCGUUGCUUUGCUCCCCCUUUGUCCCUUUGAUCCGUUGCUGCGACCAGAUGAUGGAGCCCGGGAGAUGGAGCUUCCUGCCGACGCCUUCCACCCCGAUGGUGACUCCUUCGUGGAGAUCGCUGAAGACCAGGAGUAGUUUAGGAGGUUCCGAGGCAGGAGGCUGAUGACCCACAACUAUAGGGGAUCAAUCGUAGUCCUUUCGAUAAGUAAGAGUGUCGAACCCAACGAGGAGCAGAAGGCUCUGAUAAACGGUUUUCAGCAAGGUAAUAACUGCAAGCACUGAAAGUAGCGGUAACAAAUGAUGGUGUAGUGAGGUGAAACGUAGCAGGUGAAAAGUAACAAGUAACAAGUAAUAGCAACGGUGCAGCAAAGUGGCCCAAUCCCUUUUGUAGCAAGGGACAAGCCUGAACAAAGUCUUAUAGGAAGAAAAACGGUCCCAAGGACACACGGGAAUUUCUGUCAUGCUAGUUUCAUCAUGUUCAUAUGAUUCGCGUUCGUUACUUUGAUAGUUUGAUAUGUGGGUGGACCGGCGCUUGGGUACUGCCCUUACUUGGACAAGCAUCCCACUUAUGAUUAACCCCUCUCGCAAGCAUCCGCAUCUUCGAAAGAAGAAUUAAGACAACGUCUAACCAUAGCAUUAAACUAGUGGAUCCAAAUCAGCCCCUUACGAAGCAACGCAUAGACUGGGGUUUAAGCUUCUAUCACUCUAGCAACCCAUCAUCUACUUACUACUCCCCAAUGCCUUCCUCUAGGCCCAAAUAAUGGUGAAGUGUUAUGUAGUCGACGUUCACAUAACACCACUAGAGGAAAAACAACAUACAACAUAUCAAAAUACCGAAUGAAUACCAAAUUCACAUGACUAUUAUUAGCAUGACUUAUCCCAUGUCCUCAGGAACAAAAGUAACUACUCACAAAGCAUAGUCAUAAUCAUGAUCAGAGGUGUAAUGAGUAGCAUCAAGGAUCUGAACAUAAACUCUUCCACCAAGUAAUCCAACUAGCAUCAACUACAAAGAGUAAUCAACACUACUAGCAACCUUACAAGUACCAAUCGGAGUCGCGAGACGGAGAUUGGUUACAAGAGAUGAACUAGGGUUUGGAGAUGAGAUGGUUCUAAUGAAGAUGUUGAUGGUGACGAGUCCCCUCCGAUGAGAGGAGUGUUGGUGAUGACGAUGGCGACGGAUCCCCCCUCCGGGAGGGAAGUUUCCCCGGCAGGAUCGUCCUGCCGGAGCUCUAGAUUGGUUCUGCUCAAGUUCCGCCUCGUGGCGGCGGAGAAUCCAUGAAAAAGCUCCGCCCUAAUUUUUAUCCGGACGAAACCCUUCAUAUAGCAGAAGAGGGGGCCAGUGGGCCACCAGGGCGCCCACAAGCCCUGUUGCCGCGGCUAGGGGGGCAGGCCGCGACCACGAGGCUUGUGGGCCCCUGGCAGCUCCCCUGUGGCACUUCUUUCGCCCAAUAUUUUUUGUAUAAUCCCAAAAAAUUCCACGUUGAUUUUCAGGUCAUUUGGAGUUGCGCAGAAUAGGGGACUCAGACUUGCUCCUUUUCAAGUCUAGAAUUCCAGCUGCCAGUAUUCUCCCUCUUCAAAUAAACCUUGCAAAAUAAGAGAUAGAAGGCAUAAGUAUAGUACCACAAAGUACAAUAACAGUUCGUAAAGCGAUAAAUAUCAACAUGAAAGCAUGAUGCAGAAUGGACGUAUCAACUCCCCCAAGCUUAGACCCCGCUUGUCCUCAAGCGAAAACCAAGAUCCAUAAACAUGUCCACAAGUUUAGGGACGAAGGUGUCGAUAAAACAUAAUACGGACAUGAGGGCAUCAUGAUUACACAUAGAACAACAAUACAUCAUAAAGAUUCUUAUGGGAAAGUAACAAUUCCUUCACAAAGCAAAGUAUGAAACAAAAACCUUACCGAGAAGUAGCCAACAACAGUCCAUAGUCAUUGAAGCAAUUGCAAUUUAUCAUAACAUCAGAAAGAGCCAAAUAAGUGCUUGUAAAGCAAAUACACAUACUCAAUCAUCUCUUUUGUUUUCCACAAUUGUUACAACUCACGUGGUACUCAUGGUAUCAAAGUUUCAGUUGGACACAGAGAAAGAUAGGGGCUUAUAAUUUUGCCUCCCAACCAUUUACCUCAAGGGUAAAUUCAACAAUAAUAAAGCAUAAGUACUCAUCUCCAAGUUGAUAUAUGAAUAUAGAUCUUUCCCUAGCAUAUGACGUUCACCAAGAUGAAGACGGAAUAGGGAAUUAGUGUUGAUCACCAUGACUUUCACAAGGACAAAAGGUAGAGGUACAAGAUAGGCCCUUCGCAGAGGGAAACAGAGGUUGUCAUGCGCUUUUGAGGUUGGAUGCGUGUCCUCUUAGUGCGGAGGAACGUCACUUUAUAUUGCCUCUUGUGAUAAAGAACUUCAUUAUGCGGUAUGUCGCUUUUAUGUCUUCCUCAUCACAGGUUCGUAUAAAGCUUAUUUUCCACACACUAAUAGAUCAUACAUAUUAGAGAUCAUUUUUUAUUGCUUGCACCGAUGACAACUUACUUGAGGGAUCUUAUUCAAUCCAUAGGUAGGUAUGGUGGACACUCAUGGCAAAACUGGGUUGAAGGUUUAUGGAUGCACAAGUAGUACUCUACUUGGUGCGGGAGUUUUGGCUAAUAUGAGGUGGAAGCAAUCGUCACAUGCUAAGGGAUCUCUAGACAUAUAACAUUGUUUGGAACCAAGCAAACACAAUUCAUUAUGUUGUCUUCCUUAUCCAACAUCUACUUCUAAGCAUGUAAUAGUUUGGUGAGUGCUCACAAUUAUAGAAAGUGUCUAAGAUGAUAUAUUUAUUUGUGAACCUCUCUUUCCUUAUUACUCCUUAUUAAUUGCAACAAUGACUGGGGUCUAUGUUGGGCUAUUCUCAACAAGUUUCAAUCAUCAUACUUGUUAUAUGUCAAGCUAUCACUUUCCAUAAGAUCAUCUCAUGAUCUUUCAUGCUAUCGUUCUUUUCAUACUUUUGAUCACGGCACAAAACAAAGCCCAUGACUAAGAUACUCUUUAUUAUAUAGCUCGCAAGCUCGAAUACAUCGGGGGAGACACAAUGCAAAAGACUCAAACUAAACACUAAAGCUUAUUCCACUAAGAGGAGAAAUAAAAUCUGAAAAGGAAAGAACUAAAAUAAAGGUAAAAGCAAAAUAUAUAAAGGUGAUACGAUACCAGGGCAACUCCCCCAAGCUUGGCACAAGCCAAGGGAGUUGUCCAUACCAAUGCUCAGUUGUCUUCCUUUGGUGGGGGCGGAGGAGUUGUUGCAGAGGUUUUGAGCUUGUCUAAUUUCCACUUGAGCAUAAAAUUCUGCUCUCUCAGAUCAUCAUUUUCCUCCUCAAGCUUCAACACCCUUUGACAAAGUUCCUGCUUACUCUCCUGCAAGAAAUGAGAAGGGAUAAACAAGUUCUUAGGCUUCUUCCUUGAGUCAGGGAGGCUCGACUUCUUGAACUCCACAUGAGUGCGUCCAGGUUGAGGUAGAGGAGCCUCCUCUUCAUCGGAACUCGUUUGGUCCUUCCCCUUGGGAUCAUAGUCCUCUUCCUCGUCAGUGGUCCAGCCAUAUGGUUCCAAGUCCCCAUAAACCUUGGGGUUAGCAAGGUAAUCAGCCACAUAGCUCUCCCCCUCUGAAUCCUGAGAAGACAUCUUGACCUAGAUCUGCGGCAGAAAACAGGCUCGAAACGAAAACAGAGGAAAACUGUGCGAUACGGAGAUCAAAACCCUUGGGCGUAUAUAUAAUGAUUUUUUCUGGACCAGAAGGAGUGCUCCGCAAGAAAACGGAGUCCGGGAGGCACAUGAGGUGCCCACAAGCCGUGUAGCCGCGGCCACCAGGCUUGUGGCCGCCUCGUGCGCUCUCCGGACUGCUUUUUAUUUUUCUAUUUUUCCAUAAAUUCCAAAACGGAGAAAAUUUCCUACUGGAAAAGUUUUGGAGUCCAAUUACUUACUGAAACACAUACCUCUUCGUUUUCAGAGUCUGAAACAGGCUGAUAAACAUCCAUUAUGUACUCCUUUGGAGUUAUGAUAUUGAUGAUAUUGCUCUCAACAUUUAUGGGAGUACCAGAGAUAUAAUGCUUGAUUCUUUGCCCAUUUACCACUCUCGGAAAAUUACCUUCCGUGUUAUUGAUUUUGAUGGCACCAAAACGAUAUACUUCCUCGACAACGUAGGGACCUUCCCAUUUAGAGAGAAGUUUGCCUGCGAAGAAUCUCAAGCGAGAAUUGUAUAGCAGGACAUAAUCACCUACAUUGAACUCACGUUUUUGUAUUCUUUUAUCGUGCCAUCUCUUAACCUUUUCCUUGAACAACUUGGCAUUCUCAUAUGCCUGGGCCCUCCAUUCAUCUAAUGAGCUGAUAUCAAACAACCGCUUCUCACCGACAAGUUUGAAAUCGAAGUUGAGCUCUUCGAUUGCCCAAUAAGCUUUGUGUUCUAGCUCAAGAGGUAAAUGACAGGCCUUACCGUAAACCAUUUUAUAUGACGACAUGCCCAUGGGAUUCUUAUAAGCAGUCCUAUAAGCCCAUAGUGCAUCGUCAAGUUUGCUAGACCAAUUCUUUCAAGAUCUAUUGACAGUCUUUUGUAAGAUCAAUUUGAUCUCCCUAUUACUCAACUCCACUUGACCACUAGACUGAGGAUGAUAAGGAGAUGCAACUCUAUGGUUGACAUCAUACUUAGCGAAUCUUGCGGAAAACACCAUCAAUGAAGUGUGAACCGCCAUCAGUCAUCAGAUAUCUAGGGACUCCAAAUCUUGGGAAAAUGACUUCUUUAAGCAUCUUAAUAGAGGUGUGGUGAUCAGCAUUUCUAGUGGUGAUAGCUUCUACCCACUUAGUGACGUAAUAAACAGCAACUAAGAUGUGAGUAUACCCAUUGGAACUCGGGAAGGGUCCCAUAUAAUCAAAGCCCCACACAUCAAAUGGUUCAAUGACAAGUGAAUAGUUCAUAGGCAUUUCCUGACGUUUACUGAUGUUCCCUAUUCUUUGACAUUCGUCACAAGAGAAGACAAACUUACGUGCAUCCUUGAAGAGAGUGGGCCAAUAGAAACCUGAUUGCAGUACCUUAUGAGCAGUUUUAUCUCCAACAUGGUGUCCUCCGUAGGCUUCGGAAUGACACUUCUGCAGGAUCUGUCCCUGUUCAUGUUCAGGCACACAACGUCUAAUAACACCAUCUACUCCUUCCUUAUAAAGGCGAGGAUCAUCCCAAAAGUAGUGUCUCACAUCAAAGAAUAAUUUCUUCUUUUGCUGGUAGGUGAAACUGGGUGGUAUGUAUUUGGCUACGAUAUAGUUUGCGUAAUCAGCAUACCACGGUGCACUAUGUGAAGUGCGGAUAACAUUCAAUUGCUCAUCGGGAAAGCUGUCAUCAAUAGGUCGUGGGUCAUCAAGGACAUUCUCUAGCCUGGAUAACUUAUCUUCUACAGGGUUAUCAGCACCCUUUCGAUCAACAACGUGCAAAUCAAAUUCGUUUAGCAGGAGAACCCAUCUGAUUAGCCUAGGCUUAGCAUCCUUCUUCUCCAUAAGGUACUUAAUAGCAGCAUGAUCAGAGUGAAUAAUGACUUUGGAGUCAACUAUAUAAGAUCUGAACUUUUCACAUGCAAACACGACUGCUAAAAAUUCCUUCUCCGUAGUGGCAUAGUUUCUUUGGGCACUUUCUAGAGUUUUACUAGCGUAGUGAAUGACAUUCAACUUCUUGUCAACUCUUUGUCCUAGAACAACACCAACAACAUAAUCACUAGCAUCGCACAUGAUUUCAAAGGGCAAGUUCCAAUCAGGUGGUCGAACAAUAGGUGCGGUUAUCAAGGCCUUCUUAAGUAUUUCGAAAGCUUCCUCACAAUCCUCAUCAAAAACAAAAGGAACAUCUUUCUGCAAGAGGUUGGUAAGAGGCCUAGAAAUCUUAGAGAAGUCUUUAAUGAACCUUCUAUAGAAACCAGUAUGACCUAGGAAACUUCGUAUACCUCUGAUAUCUGUGGGGCAAGGCAUUUUCUCAAUUGCAUCAACCUUAGCCUUAUCAACUUCAAUGCCUUUCUCAGAAAUUUUGUGUCCUAAGAUGAUGCCUUCAUUAACCAUGAAGUGGCACUUCUCCCAGUUCAAGACGAGGUUGGUAUCUUUGCAUCUCUGUAAGACUCGAUCAAGGUUGCUAAGGCAAUCGUCAAAAGAAGAACCAUAAAUGGAGAAAUCAUCCAUGAAAACCUCAACAAUCUUUUCACAAAAGUCAGAGAAUAUAGCCAUCAUACAUCUUUGAAAGGUGGCAGGUGAAUUGCAUAAGCCAAAAGGCAUACGUCUAUACGCAAAGGUACCGAAGGGGCUGGUGAAAGUGGUUUUCUCUUGAUCAGACUGUGCAACAGGUAUUUGCGAGAAACCUGAAUAACCGUCUAGAAAGCAGAAGUGUGUGUGUUUAGAUAGCCUUUCUAGCAUUUGGUCGAUAAACGUCAAAGCAUAAUGGUCUUUCAUGGUUGCCUUGUUCAAUUUCCGGAAGUCUAUCACCAUCCUAUAGCUAGUAAUAAUCCUCUGUGGGAUUAGUUCAUUCUUAUCAUUAGUAACGACGGUGAUACCUCCCUUCUUAGGUACGCAAUGUACUGGACUUACCCAAUCACUAUGAGCAACAUGAUAAAUGAUUCGUGCUUCCAGAAGCUUUAAUAUUUCUUUUCUCACGACCUCUUUCAUCCUAGGAUUUAACCUCCGUUGAUGAUCAACGACUGGCUUAGAAUCAGGAUCGGUUUUAAUCUUGUGCUGACAUAGAGUGGGACUAAUACCAUUAAGAUCAUCAAGAGUAUAUCCAAUAGCAGCACGGUGCUUCCUCAAAGUUUUUAAUAACUUCUUCUCUUCGUGAUUCAAUAGGCGAGCACUAAUUAUAACAUGAUAUAUCUCCUUCUCAUCAAUAUAGGCAUACUUAAGUGUAUCUGGUAAUUGUUUUAGCUCAACCACAGGAUCACCCUUUGGUGGGGGAGGAUCCCCAAGCAACUCAGCAGGCAGAUUAUUCUUAAGAAUAGGAUAUUGUUCUAAAACAAUUUUAUCUAUCUCAUCUCUUUCAUCCAUAUGCAUAUCAUUUUCAUGCUCAAGUAGAUAUUGCUCUAAAGGAUCCAUAGGAGGCACGACAAUAGAGGCAAGAACAAUGAUUUCAUCCCUACCAGACGACUCUUUUUCAUGGGGUUGUCUUCCAAACUUGGAGAAGUUAAAUUCAUGAGACACACCCUCGAAACUAACAGUGACAAUCUGUUUAACACAAUCAAUAUGAGCAUUGACAAUGUUGAGAAAGGGUCUACCAAAUAUGAUAGGACAAAAGUUAUCUUGUGCAGUAGCAAGGACGAGGAAAUCAGUAGGAUACUUCGUCUUACCACAGAGGACCUCUACAUCUCUCACAAUUCCCACAGGGCAGAUAGUGUCUCUAUUAGCUAGCGUAAUAGUGACAUCAAUAGGUUCUAACUCAGCAGGUGCAAUCUCAUCUUUGAUUUCAUCAUAAAGGGACCGGGGUAUUGCACUAACACUAGCACCCAUAUGACAUAAACCAUGAUAAUAGUGAUCUCCUAUCUUGACAGAAACAACGGGCAGGCCAACUACAGGUCCGUAUUUGUCUUUCGCGUGAGGUUUAGCAAUUCUAGCGGAGUCCUCACAGAAUUUGAUAACAUGCCCGUCUAUGUCUUCGGCUAAGAGAUCUUUGAUAAUAGCAACAUUAGGUUCAACUCUAAUUUCCUCAGGGGGUGCAAGUGGUCUAAUGUAACCCCUACGUAUCACAGUUGGAGCUUUAGAAUAAUACUUUCUCCUAGGAGGGUAAGGUGGUUUCUCAGUGUAGGCACAAGGAACAGUAGGAUCAUUAUAGGCAAUGACUUUCUCUUCAACUAGAUUGGAUUUAACUAUGUUGACUUCUAGAGGAGGAUGAUACUUAAACCACUUCUCUUUGGGAAGAUCAAUAUGAGCAGCAAAAGAUUCACAUAGAGAGGCUACUAUCUCAGAGUCAAGUCCAUACUUAGCGCUAAAAUCUCUAGAAGUGUUUGUUUCAACAAAAGAUUUAACGCGAUCAAACUGGAAAUUCAUACCUGACUCCUUAGCUUCUUCAAGCUCCCAAUCUUCAGAGUUACAUUUGAUUCUUUCCAAUAAAUUCCACUUGUGGUCAACAUCCUUCUUCAUAAAAGAACCGGUACAAGAAGUGUCAAGCAUGGUACGAUCUUCAUGAGAAAGCCGAGCAUAAAAGUUUUGAGUGAUAAUUUCUCUCGAGAGCUCAUGAUUGGGGCAUGAAUAUAGCAUUGAUUUAAGCCUCCCCCAAGCUUGAGAUAUGCUUUCCUUGUCACGAGGCCAAAAGUUAUAAAUAUAAUUCCGAUCACGAUGUACUAAAUGCAUAGGAUAAAACUUUUGAUGAAAUUCCAAUUUCAACCGAUUGUAGUCCCAUGAACCAGUAUCAUCACAUAGCAUAUAGCAUGUCAAUGCCUUAUCCUUCAAAGAUAAAGGAAAGACUUUCUUAUUUACCUCAUCCUUGGGCAAACCUGCAAGCUUAAACAAACCACAAACUUCAUCUACAUAGAUUAGAUGCAAGUCUGGAUGUGAUGAUCCAUCUCUUGUAAAAGGAUUAGCCAGCAGUUUCUCAAGCAUACCCGAAGGAAUUUCAUAAAAGAUAUUUUUAGUAGGUACCUUAGGUUGAGGAGAAACUCCUCGUGCUUCCGUUCAUGGUAAAGAUACCCCGAACAAAUUCCUCAAAGGAACAGUUUCCAUAGUGACAAGUGACAAUAAAUUUCAGCACAGUAUAUAAAUGUUUCCUUACCAAAUUCCACUUACCAAAGGCGCUCCACUCCCCGGCAACGGCGCCAGAAUAGAGUCUUGAUGACCCACAAGUAUAGGGGAUCAAUCAUAGUCCUUUCGAUAAGUAAGAGUGUCGAACCCAACGAGGAGCAGAAGGCUCUGAUAAACGGUUUUCAGCAAGGUAAUAACUGCAAGCACUGAAAGUAGCGGUAACAAGUGAUGGUGUAGUGAGGUGAAACGUAGCAGGUGAAAAGUAACAAGUAACAAGUAAUAGAAACGGUGCAACUAAGUGGCCCAAUCCCUUUUGUAGCAAGGGAAAAGCGUGAACAAAGUCUUAUAGGAGGAAAAACGCUCCCGAGGACACACGGGAAUUUCUGUCAUGCUAGUUUCAUCAUGUUCAUAUGAUUCGCGUUCGUUACUUUGAUAGUUUGAUAUGUGGGUGGACCGGCGCUUGGGUACUGCCCUUACUUGGACAAGCAUCCCACUUAUGAUUAACCCCUCUCGCAAGCAUCCGCAUCUUCGAAAGAAGAAUUAAGACAACGUCUAACCAUAGCAUUAAACUAGUGGAUCCAAAUCAGCCCCUUACGAAGCAACGCAUAGACUGGGGUUUAAGCUUCUAUCACUCUAGCAACCCAUCAUCUACUUACUACUCCCCAAUGCCUUCCUCUAGGCCCAAAUAAUGGUGAAGUGUUAUGUAGUCGAUGUUCACAUAACAUCACUAGAGGAAAAACAACAUACAACAUAUCAAAAUACCGAAUGAAUACCAAAUUCACAUGACUAUUAUUAGCAUGACUUAUCCCAUGUCCUGAGGAACAAAAGUAACUACUCGCAAAGCAUAAUCAUAAUCAUGAUCAGAUGUGUAAUGAGUAGCAUCAAGGAUCUGAACAUAAACUCUUCCACCAAGUAAUCCAACUAGCAUCAACUACAAAGAGUAAUCAACACUACUAGCAACCUUACAAGUACCAAUCGGAGUCGCAAGACGGAGAUUGGUUACAAGAGAUGAACUAGGGUUUGGAGAUGAGAUGGUUCUAAUGAAGAUGUUGAUGGUGACGAGUCCCCUCCGAUGAGAGGAGUGUUGGUGAUGACGAUGGCGACGAUUUCCCCCUCCGGGAGGGAAGUUUCCCCGGCAGGAUCGUCCUGCCGGAGCUCUAGAUUGGUUCUGCUCAAGUUCCGCCUCGUGGCGGCGGAGAAUCCACGAAAAAGCUCCGCCCUAAUUUUUNNNNNNNNNNNNNNNNNNNNNNNNNNNNNNNNNNNNNNNNNNNNNNNNNNNNNNNNNNNNNNNNNNNNNNNNNNNNNNNNNNNNNNNNNNNNNNNNNNNNNNNNNNNNNNNNNNNGCCAGGGGGCAGGCCGCGGCCACCAGGCUUGUGGGCCCCUGGCAGCUCCCCUCUCGCACUUCUUUCGCCCAAUAUUUUUUAUAUAAUCCCAAAAAAUUCCACGUUGAUUUUCAGGGCAUUUGGAGUUGCGCAGAAUAGAGGAUUCACACUUGCUCCUUUUCCAGUCCAGAAUUCCAGCUGCCGGUAUUCUCCCUCUUCAAAUAAACCUUGCAAAAUAAGAGAGAAAAGGCAUAAGUAUAGUACCACAAAGUAUAAUAACAGUCCAUAAAGCGAUAAGUAUCAACAUGAAAGCAUGAUGCCAAAUGGACGUAUGAGAGGCCUCGCCUCGUUCGAUCGUUGUAUCGUUUAUGCUAGCCUUCUCGAAGGCACCCCAUGUUUAAUGUUUGUACUCAGAUAUUGUUGCUUCCGCUAACUUGUGUGUUUAUCGAGCUUUUGUAUUCUAGCCCUCGAGGCCCCUGGCUUGUAAUAUGAAGCUUGUAUGUUUUAUUUGUGUCUAGUGUUGUGUUGUGAUAUAUCUUCCCGUGAGUCCUUGAGUUUGAUCGUACGUAUUUGCGUGUAUGAUUAGCGUAUGAUUAAAUCUAGGGCGUCACAACUCCCUAUAAAGAUCACUCCCGUUGUCCUUUGUGUUGAAGUCGUGAAGUGGUUGUACAACACUUGUGGUAAUUUUGAAGUUUUACGUGUGUUUGUUUUUGUUGUUCUAAAACAUUUUAUUUUAUGAAGUGUGCAUUCAAAUCAUGAACCACUUUCAUCGUUCUAUUUCUUGCAUCGAUAUCAUCAAAACUAAAAUCCCAUGUUAAUAGGUUUCAACAAUUUUUUCCCCAAAAAAGUAAAAAAACCCAGAAAAACAGAAGCACAACUGUGCUUCUCACUUUUUGUUUGAUAGCACGGAUGUGCUUUUCACUUUUUGGGGAGCGCAUAUUUGUUCUUCACAGAUGGACCCCCCCCGGUACACUACUCGUAAUGCCCAAAACUUUUCUGGUAGACAAAAUAGGACUUCCCAUAUUUAAAUCGUUACCUCAGGACCAUUUUGGAUCUCUUCGUGUCAUCUCAGAUCUCAUUCGGGACUCCAAACAACAUUCGGUUACCAAUGUACAUAUCCCAAUACUACUCCAGCGUCACCGAAUGUUAAGCAUGUGGACCCAGCGGGUUCGAGAAUCUUGUAGACAUGACCGAGACACUGCUUUGGUGAAUAACCAAUAGAGGGACCUGGGUGCCCAUAUUGGUUCCUACAUAUUCCAUGAAGAUCUUCAUUGGUCGAACCACGAUGCCAAGGAUUCAAUCAAUCCCGUAUGCAGUUCCCUUUGUCCAGUGGUAUGUUACUUGCUCGAGAUUCGAUCGUCGGUAUCUCCAUACCUAGUUCAAUAUCAUUAUCACUAGGUCUCUUUACUUGUUCCGUAAUAGAAGAUCCAGUGACUAACUCCUUAGUGACAUUGCUUGAAAGCUUGUUGAUGUUGUAUCACCGAGUGGGCCCAGAGAUACCUCUCCGUCAUACAGAGUGACAAAUCCCAGUGUUGAUCCAUGCCAACUCAACAAACACCCUCACAUAUACGUGUAGAGCAUCUUUAUAAUCACCCAGUUAUGUUGUGACAUUUGAUACACACAAGGCAUUCCUCUAGUGUCACUGAGUUGCAUGAUCUCAUGGUCUUAGGAACAGAUAGACAGACAUGUAGAAGGAAAUAGCAAUAAAGUUAGUCAUACGAUCAAAUGCUAUGCUUACGGUUGGGUCUUGUUCAUCACAACAUUCUCCUAAUGAUGUGAUCAUGUUAUCAAAUGCCAACUCAUGUCUAUGGCUAGGAAACCUUAAACAUCUUUGAUCAAUGAGCUAGUUUAGUAGCUUACUAGGGACACGGUGUUGUCUAUCUAUCCACAUAUGUAUUUGAGUUUCCAAUCAAAUUAUAGCAUUCAUAAUAAAUGAUUAUUAUGAACAAGGAAAUAUGAUAAUAACCAAUUUAUUAUUGCCCCUAGGGCAUAUUUACAACAGUCUCCCACUUGCACAAGAGUCAAUAAUCUAGUUCACAUCACCAUGUGAUUAACACCCAAUGAGUUCUGGGUUGAUCAUUUUUGCUUGUGAGAGAGGUUUUAGUCAACGAGUCUGCAACAUUCAGAUCGUGUGUACUUUGCAAAUCUCCAUGUCAUAUUGUAGAUGAUGUUACCAUGUUCCACUUGGAACUAUUCCAAACGACGACUCCACUAUACGAACCCGGUUUGCUACUCACAGUCAUCCGGAUUGGUGUCAAAGCUUGCAUCGACGUAACCCUUUAUGAAUAACUCUUUUAUCACCUCCAUAAUCGAGAAACAUUUUCUUAUUCCUCUAGUUACUAAGGAUAAUUUUAACCAUUGUCCAAUGAUCCACUCCUAGAUCACUCUUAUACCCCUCGACGCACUCAUGGCAAGGCACACACCAGGGCAGUACACAUCAUGGCAUACUAUAGAACCUAUGACUAAGGUAUAGGGGACGACCUUCAUCCUUUCUCUUUCUUCUGUCGUGGUCGAGUUUUGAGUCUUAAUCAAAUUCACACCUUACAAUACAGCCAAGAACUCCUUUCUUUGAGUGGUUUAUUUUUGAACUCCUUCAAAAAUCUUGUGAAGGUAUGUAUUUAUUGAAAGUUUAAUCAAGCGUCUUGAUCUAUCUUUUAUAGAUCUUGAUGCCCAAUAUUUAAGUAGAUUUAUCCAGGGUUUUCCUUUGAAAGACUCCUUUCAAAUAACCCUAUGUGUUUUCCAGAAAUUCUACGUCAUUUCCGAUCAACAAUAUGGCAUCCACAUAUACUUAUAAUAAAUUCUAUAGUGCUGCCACUCACUUUCUUGUAAAUACAAGUUUCUUCAUAAACUAUGUAUAAACCAAAAGCCUUGAUUACUCAUCAAAGCACUUAUUCCUACUCCGAGAUGCUUGCACCAGUCCAUAAAUGGAUUGCUGGACCUCGCAUGCCUUUUAGCAUCCCUAGGAUCGACAAAACCUUAUGGUUGUAUCACAUACAACCUUUUGCCAAGGAAACCGAUAAGGAACCAAUGUUUCGAUAUCCAUGUUCCAAAUUUCAUAAUUGAAAAAUGCAGCAACUGCUAACAUAAUUCCAACAGACUUUAACAUUGCUUCGGGUGAGACAGUCUCAUCGUAGUCAACUCCUUGAACUUGUCGGAAACCUCUUUGCAACAACUUGAGGUUUAUAAAUGGUGACAUUUACCAUCAUCGUCUCUCUUCCUCUUUAAGAUCCAUUUGUACUUAAUAGUCUAACAACAACCAUCAUGUAAUUCUUCCAAAGUCUAUACUUUGUUUUCAUGCAUGGAUCCUAUCUUGUAUUUCAUGGCCUCCAGCCAUUUGUCGGAAGUCGGGCCCACCAUCGCUUCUCCAUAGCUUGUAGGUUCAUUGUUGUGCAACAACAUGACCUCUAAGACAGGAUUACUGUACCACUCACGAGCAGUACUGAAAGUGCGUUAUAUCGACUAGAGGGGGGGGGGGUGAAUAGGCGAUUUUUAGAAUUUCAAUGCUGAGGAAAUUCCUUUUGAGGAAAUUCCUCACCGAUGAAUAACGUGCAGUGGAAAUAGCGCAGGAUCAGAGGUGUAAAGAUUACAACAACAAUUUACUUGAUGAAGAUUAUGAGAAUCGGUUUGCACAGUAUGCAGGCACAAAAUAAGCAGGUGAAGAUUUAUUAGUAUGAAGAAUUUGAGGUUGACGAAAGAUCCAUCAGCAUGGAGUUUCUUUAUGCGUUUUACACCAAUAUGACCUAAGAGGCAGUGCCACAAGUAAGUGGUAUUAUCAUUACUAACUUUACAUCUUUUUGGCAUCAAUAGUAUCAUUACAAUCAAGAUUUAAUAAACCAUUCAUCUUGGGUGCAUGAUCAUAUAAGAUAUUAUUCAUGUAAAUAGAAUAACACAUUAUUAUUUAACUUACAUAAAUAAUUUUUUUAGAAUAAACAAAAUCAUUAUAAGGUCCAUGCUCAACGCAGACACCAAAUAACAUUUAUGUAGGUUUACCACUGACCCCGUAGGUAUAUAGAGUGUGCGAUGGUGAUCACAUCAACCUUGGAAACACUUCCAACACACAUCGACACCUCGCCCUUAGCUAGUCUUCGUUUAUUCCACAACUCCUAUUUUGAGUUACUAAUAUUAGCAACUGAAUCGGUAUCGAAUACCCACAGGCUACAAUGAGCACUAGUCAGCCGCACAUCAAUAACAUGUAUAUUAAAUAUACUUUGGUUGACAUUGCUAGCCUUCUUAUCUGUCAAGUAUGUGUGGCAUUUCCGCUUUCAGUGACCGCUUUCCUCCGAACAGAAGCACUCAAUCUCAGGUUUGGAUUCAACCUUGGGUUUCUUCACUAGAGCGACAACUAGCUUGCCAUUCUCAAAGUUUCCCUUUUUGCCCUUGCCCUUCGUGAAACUAGUGGUUUUACUAACUAUCAACAUUUCAUGCUCCUUCUUGUUUUCAACUUUCAUGGUGUAAAACAUAGCGAUUAGCUCAGGGAUCAUCAUAUCCAUCCCUCGCAUGUUAUAGUUCAUCAUGGAGAUAUAGUAGCUUGGUGGCAGUGACUUGGAGAACAAUGCCAAUCACUAUCUUAUCUGGAAGAUCAACUCCCACUUGAUUCAAGUGAUUAGUACCCUGACAAUCUGAGCACAUGCUCACCGAUUGAGCUAUUCUCUUUCAUCUUUUAGGCAAAUAAUCUUUGUCAGAGGUCUCAUACCUCUCAACACGUGUACGAGCCUGAAAUCCCAAUUUCAGCUAUUAGAACAUAUCAUAUGCCCCAUGACGUUCAAAAUGUCUUUGGAGCCUCAGUUCAAAGACGUAAAGCAUGACACACAGAACUAUCAAGUAGUAAUCAAAAGCGUGUCUCUCAGAUGUUCACAACAUCCACAUACAACACUUGGGGGUGGCACACCUAGUAGUGCAUCAAGGAAAUGAGCCUUCUAUGCAGCAAUGAGGACAAUCCUCAGUUUACGGACCCAGUCCGCAUAAUUGCUACUAUCAUCUUUCAACUUAGUUUUUAUCUAGGAACGCAUCAAAAAAUACACGAGAGCUACAACGCGAGCUAUUGAUCUACAUCAUUAUUUGGGAAGACAAUUUAGACUAUGUUCAUGAUAAUGAGUUGAAUUAAUCAUAUUACUAAAGAACUCCCACUAAAAUCAACAUCCCUCGGGUUUUUUCGGGUGUAACAUGAUCCAAAUACACCAACCCAAGUUCGAUCAUCAUGCGAGAUGAGGCGGUUUAAUGGUGAGCAACUUCAUGUUGGUCAUAUCUACUAUAUGACUCAUAUUCUACCUUUCAGUCUCCUGUGUUCGGAGGCCAUGUCUAUACAUGCUAGGCUCACCAAAUUUAACCCAAGUGUUCUUGAUACGUCUCCAUCGCAUCUACUUUUCCUAACGCUUUUGCUCUUGUUUUGGACUCUAAUUUUCAUGAUUUGAAUGAAACUAACCCGGACUCACGCUGCUUUCAGCAGAACUACCAUGGUAUUAUUUUUGUGCAGAAAUAAAAGUUUACAGAAUGGAACGAAACUUUUUGGAGAUUUUUUAUGGAAUAAAAGCAAAAUAUUGGAACUAGGACGCACUAAAGGGGAGGACCCACUCGCCCACUAGGCACCAGGGCGUGCCAAUCCCCCUAGCGCAACCUGGCUAUUGGGGCCCAUGGGGCUCGGUUGACCGUAACUCAAGCACUAUAAAAACCUUUUUCAGAAAAACAGGA